CGCAGGUUUAUAGAACUUAAUAGUAAACUAGGUCAUGGUAUUGAAGUGACGCUGAUUAAUAUAAAACGAGAAGUAGUAUUUGUUAUUAGUUAUUAUUUUCUGGGUACGUUGGAACAGUCGUGCUACUAUUUCAUGUUCACGUUUCCUCGCUGGUUAAACUUAGCUGUUUUAUUUUCACCUUUUAUUUAUUUAUUUUUCAUAUAUGUAUUUAUGAAAAUUUUAAACAAGAUGAAAAAGAUAAACAUGGACUAACAAGUGUUCUAUAUUGCAGUCUCGUGUUACUGGUGUUUACACUUUGCUGUAUAUGUGACAUCAGGUUUGAGUAUUACUCCAAGCUAGACCAACACGAGCACCUAUCAGUUAAAUUCAAGAGCCUGCACCUGCUAACAGUGCGCAACACAGAACUGAUCCACCGCCCGACCUGUUAAGUACAGGGUAGAAGAACCUCCAGAGUCAGGCGGAACAAGGAGGUCCUCAUCAGGUGUGGCAACAGAAUCUUGAGAACUGAUCCAGAUUAGCUGUGGACAGUGUUAUCCUCGCGUUCUUGGACAUUAAUACAACUACUUUUUUAAAACCUAUUAUCGAUAAAUAACUUCUUCAUUUUAAUCAGUGCCUAUAGUCGAGAAUUCCCCUGCUGGCGUGAGUGAGUGUCGACUUGCUGCAAGUAUGAAGACUACCAACACCUUCAGCAUAACAGAUGGAUGGCUGUUGUGUCGCUGCAGGUCAUCGAGCCAACAUAGGUACUUUAGAUAUCAGCCGUUUCAUUUCUGGUCUCUCGAGGAUUUCACCAACAUGAAUAACACAGAACACACAGUAAGCUUCCGUCAACUACUAAACACCACAACAUAACGCCAGACUACCAAUGAAGAAGUCAAAAUGUCUGAAGGUAUACGUGGUUCAUCCCCGACGUCACCUGGAGCUUAUUGAAGAACAGGAAGUUGGUUUGACGUCAUCCUCCCUGAUCAUUGCUCCUGGAUAUCUGCCCCGAUCAUUUAACAAGAGCUACGGUAAUCAACACCAGAAACCCGAUGUGAAACCAGCACGCAGCAGACCAGUUAGGACUCAUCUGACGUCAUUACAAAAGGAACCAAUUAGAACUCACCCGACGUCAAGACUCAAGGAACCAAUUAGCACUCACCUGACGUCAAUACUCAAGGAACCAAUUAGAACUCGACUGAGAUGUGUUUGUCACGUUGGAUCUUCAGAAGACACUCAGGAGCCCGAGAUAUAUUUAUGAAAGCCCUGCCCUUGAGGUGAAGGAUUUGUCCCAUGUUAACAGCGACAGUACGAGCAGUCAGCAGCGUCUAGCAGUCACCUCCAUCCAGCUGUAUGAACUUAGGUGUGGAAACUUCUCCUGGCAUACGUUACCCCAUCUCCUGGCUUCAUUACGCUAGUUUAAAACUCACAAAGGGUCUCGGGUUCAAUUUCCUGCCAGACUGGAGGGCUGGGUACCUGCCUUGGACACACACCCAUAAAUGUGGACGCUACAUGGCAGGUCAUGGUCAACCCUCUCAUAACCAACACUCAGUCCAAGUUCACCUUCGAUGCAUUACACCUUUAGUUCCCUCGGCCCAGAAAAUCUAAUUUAAGUUUUGAAAAAAUUCGCCUUCACUUCUUGACACUGGCAUAAUGCGCCGCCCUGAAGAUACUGCAUACAGGUAAUGUGACUUUGUUAACUUCAGUACGGUAGGAUAUCACCACAUCUCACAGCUGCUGUACGAGAAUACGAUGAUAUGUUUCUAGGAUUACGUAAAG
rnacentral:lncRNA from 1 species